UACGUAGGGGACGAGCGUUGUCCGGAAUUACUGGGCGUAAAGGGCGCGCAGGCUGCGUUACAAGUCAGCUGUUAAAAUCAUGGGCUUACCCCAUGAGUGCGGUUGAAACUGUAGUGCUCGAGUACUGUAGAGGCAAGCGGAAUUCCCAGUGUAGCGGUGAAAUGCGUAGAUAUUGGGAGGAACACCGGUGGCGUAGGCGGCUUGCUGGACAGUAACUGACGCUGAGGCGCGAAAGCCAGGGGAGCAAACGGGAUUAGAUACCC
rnacentral:rRNA from 1 species